AUGUCCGGGUCGGCAUUUCGUCAAACACAUAUAGCUCGCAAACGCCGGUGCACCUUGGCCAUGGCCUGGACGAGCUGGAGCCUGCUGCUUGAGGUCGGGCGCUGGGCGAGACCAUGCAGCAGCUGGGCGCGGGGAGGCGAGGCCAGGCCGGGUUCGACGCGGGGCGAGACCAACGGCUGCAGUAGCGCCGCCCGGGCGAGCGGACGAGCUGGAGCCCGCAUGGCUCUGCUGCGCGGCAACGCAAGCUUGGCGCACCGUGGCGAGUUCCAUGUAUUGGAGGGGAGGUCGCGAGCGGGGCGAGCGAAGGCCACGACAAGCAGGGCGAGCAAAGGCCACGGCGAGCACGGGAGCGGCUAG
rnacentral:rRNA from 1 species